CACACAUGCAAAACAAUGAUGCUACUGUGAGCCUUGCCCAUUAAUUCCCGUUUGCUGGGUGACGCAAGGUGUGGGCGCUAUGAGCCAGAAAGGAGCAGGAGGCAGCGCUCUCAGCCCCCUGUCCCCUGCAGACCCCGGUGCCACGGCAGCCCUGUGAGUGCUCUUCCCAAGGGGAGAAACAUGCGGCUGCAGUGACGGGGACAUCUACAAAACCAGGCAGCUCCCAACAAACUUUGGCCACGUCAUGACUCAAACAUGAAGAAAUGAAGUGUCUGCAGCCGACACAUUGCAGAGUUAAGCCACAUAUUUCUAAUCCAGGGUCUGCAGACUUGAUGCAGCUCUGUGCAAUCCUGCAGCUUGGGCUGGGAAACCAAGGAAAAGCAGGGGACAUCUCCCUCCUUUGGGGGACAACAAGAAGCCUGGUGAGGACAGCAUCACCAUGUAGCCACCAGGUCUGUGCUACAGACCAACCAACUGGACUUUCCCCAGGACUCAGGGCAGCCUUUGGAGCCUCUCCCUGCCCUAGCCCCAGCCCAAUGAAGCCCUUAUUCUCUGAUGCUCUGUCCCUGUCACCCCCCAGCUGGGCACGACUCCCAUCACUGCCCAUCAUCUCCACCUGGAGGUGUCCUGGGACAUGCCCCUGGGUGUCAGAGCCCUUCCAGCACACUGCUGGACACGGGUGCUACCAUCAGAGCAGAAACAUCCCCAAGCACAGGACAGCCCCUAGUGCAUGCAGCAGCUUUCACUGGGGACUGGAUAAAUGGGAGGCACUUGGGAAUGCACCUGUUGGAGAAGUUCAGCUCUCAUCUGCAACGCAACGCUCCACGGGUACAAAUCAUCAGCAUGGGCAUCGACCCGAGGUAAGCCAGGAGACAGUCACUUGACUGCUCUUUCAGCAGCACAGAGACACACUCAGUAACAGCGUGUGCACUGCUGUGCUCCUGACCUGCACGUGCCAUGCCGACAUCAAUCCCACCUGAAGCUCCCUUGCAACAUAAAAGGACAGAAGAAAGUUCAUGGCCAGCAGCUACACACAGGUCUAGAGAGCUCAGUCCUGCCCAGCCCGAGGCUUUUGAUCUGUCCUCUACCAAAGAAACAAGCACAAGGGCUCCCGAGCUGCCCGCCCAGCUCCAUGCGCUGCUGCUGCUGCUUCAUCCUGUGAUCCUGCUCGGUCUCACCAGCUGUGAACUGACCUGCAUCGGUGUUUAAAAGCUGCCCACCUUACCUUUCUUCUCACCAAAUUACAGAUGAUUUAGUAUGUUUUGCAGAAUAUUUGACAGUGAUGAAGAGUAAGGUCUUGAACCAGAGAGCUCCCCCUGAACACAGCGCUGAGCUCAGCACAACCCCAUUCUGAUUGUCAGCUCUUCCCUUGCACUUCUGUUCAAUAGUCUAUUCCUCUUCGCCUCUCCUCCUGCACAGGCAGGACAGAAAGGCUUCUACAAGCUGCUAAACUCCUGGCAUGCUGCAGAGCGAGAGAGAGACCACACUGCAGAUGUAAAUAACAUGAUCCCAGCGAAUAAGUCAUCUGUGUUGUGAACAGGCCCACAGGCAUUAGCUGUUGCACGAUAAAGACGGUCUGUGAUCAUGGCACUGAAGAGCAGGCAGGGCAGAAGCCCAGUUGUGAAGGCUGCCCCCCUCCAAACCAGAGCCCAGCGAGAUUCCUGCACAGCCAGGGCAGCCCCACUGCCCCACAGGGACCCAUCAGCAGCACCGGCUCCAUCCACACAGCCCCAGCACCUCAGAACCCAUCACAAGGGGGCAAGAGGCUUCCACCCAGCGGCUUCCAGUCUCAGCCUAGUGCUCAAAGGCAAAGCAAUGUGAGCAGAGAGGUGUGGUGGGCAGAGAAGUCCUCGCCAGCGGCAGCUGAUGCUCGCCCUGGUAGGGGCUGGCACGGAGCCCCCGAGCUGCCAGCGCAGCAUCCCGCCCAGCCGUGGGCGCACAAACGCUCCCACCGAGGUUGUUUGUUGUCUCUGCCAUAAAAGAGUUUCAAUCAAGCUGGGACAGUAAUUUCAGUCUAAAUUAAACAACCCCAUUUACUCACAAUGAAGGCUGUUCACAACUGAGAUCCUGACUCGGACAAGCAGUGCUUCAGAGCACAGAUUUGGCUUAUAGCGCUUAAAGCAGCUGUCUUCAUAAAAGCUAAUAAAAUACAGUUGGAUAAUUAAAAGCUUUAAUUAAAAAUGCAAAGUCCAAA